AUUGAACGCUGGCGGCAGGCCUAACACAUGCAAGUCGAGCGGAAACGAGUUAUCUGAACCUUCGGGGAACGAUAACGGCGUCGAGCGGCGGACGGGUGAGUAAUGCCUAGGAAAUUGCCCUGAUGUGGGGGAUAACCAUUGGAAACGAUGGCUAAUACCGCAUGAUGCCUACGGGCCAAAGAGGGGGACCUUCGGGCCUCUCGCGUCAGGAUAUGCCUAGGUGGGAUUAGCUAGUUGGUGAGGUAAGGGCUCACCAAGGCGACGAUCCCUAGCUGGUCUGAGAGGAUGAUCAGCCACACUGGAACUGAGACACGGUCCAGACUCCUACGGGAGGCAGCAGUGGGGAAUAUUGCACAAUGGGCGCAAGCCUGAUGCAGCCAUGCCGCGUGUAUGAAGAA
rnacentral:rRNA from 1 species